AUCGAACGCUGGCGGCAGGCCUAACACAUGCAAGUCGAACGAACCUUUCGGGGUUAGUGGCGGACGGGUGAGUAACACGUGGUAACGUGCCUUUAGGUUCGGAAUAACUCAGGGAAACUUGUCCUAAUACCGAAUGUGCCCUUCUGGGGAAAGCGUUAUCGCCUUUAGAGCGGCCCGCCUCUGCUUAGCUAGUUGGUUGAGGUAAUGGCUCACCAAGGCGACGAUCAAUAGCUGGGCUGAGAGGAUGAUCAGCCACAUUGGGACUGAGACACGGCCCAAACUCCUACGGGAGGCAGCAGUGGGGAAUCUUGCGCAAUGGGCGAAAGCAUGACGCAGCCAUGCCGGGUGAAUGAUGAAGGUCGUAGGAUUGUAAAAUUCUUUCACCGGGGAGGAUAAUGACGGUACCCGGAGAAGAAGCCCCGGCUAACUUCGUG
rnacentral:rRNA from 1 species